rnacentral:rRNA from 1 species
AUUGAACGCUGGCGGCAGGCCUAACACAUGCAAGUCGAACGAGUGGCGGACGGGUGAGUAACAUGUGGGAACCUACCCAUCAGGGGGGGAUAACACUUGGAAACAGGUGCUAAUACCGCAUACUGAUGGAUGAACUUGCGGGGCAUUAGCUAGUGGGUGGGGUAACGGCUCACCAAGGCCACGAUGCAUAGCCGAGCUGAGAGGGUGAUAGGCCACACUGGAACUGAGACACGGUCCAGACUCCUACGGGAGGCAGCAGUGGGGAAUAUUGCACAAUGGGCGCAAGCCUGAUGCAGCCAUGCCGCGUGUAUGAAGAAGGCCUUCGGGUUGUAAAGUACUUUCAGCGAGGAGGCGUUACUCGCAGAAGAAGCACCGGCUAACUCCGUGCCAGCAGCCGCGGUAAUAC